rnacentral:misc_RNA from 1 species
GAUGAAGAACGUAGUGAAAUGCGAUAAGUAAUGUGAAUUGCAGAAUUCAGUGAAUCAUCGAAUCUUUGAACGCACCUUGCACCCUUUGGCUAUUCCGAAGGGUAUGCCUGUUUGAGUAUCAUGAACACCUUAACUCUCAUGGUUUGCCAUGAUGAGCUUGGACUUUGGGGGUCUUGCUGGCCUGUGGUCAGCUCCUCUCAAAUGGAUUAGCUUGCCAGUGUUUGGUGGCAUCACAGGUGUGAUAACUAUCUACGCUUGUGGUUUUCCACCAGGUAACCUUCAGCAAUGGGGGUUCGCUGGGGCUCAUAAAUGUCUCUCCUCAGUGAGGACAGCUCUUUGAACGUUUGAUCUCAAAUCAGGUAGGACUACCCGCUGAACUUAAGCAUAUCAAUAAGCGGAGGA